GUGAGAAAGCCCUAAAGGUAAAGCACCAUCUACUGGUCAAAGGCAGUAGCACGGUCUGAACACGUCAGGACAUGCCCAGUCACACUGACAAGCAGCAGACCAGACUGCGUGAAGCUGCAUAGACUUUCUGUGCGUUUCCAACAUUAUGUGUGCGUUCUUGAGGAAAUACCACACUUAUACACACACAUGCACACACACGUAUACACACAUAUAUACACACAAACUACAUACACACUACAUGUUGCUGUUCAACAAUCUUCAUUAAAGGAAGAAAAGAAAA